CCUACGGGAGGCAGCAGUGGGGAAUAUUGCGCAAUGGGCGAAAGCCUGACGCAGCGACGCCGCGUGAGGGAUGAAGGUCUUCGGAUCGUAACCCGCUGUCAGCAGGGAAGAACGGUCACUGUGCUAAUCAGCAGUGAAUUGACGGUACCUGCAAAGGAAGCACCGGCUAACUCCGGGCCAGCAGCCGCGGUAAUACGGAGGGUGCGAGCGUUAAUCGGAAUUACUGGGCGUAAAGCGGUCGUAUGCAGUAUGUCAAGUCCAGGGUGAAAUCCCCGCGCUCCACGUGGGAACUGCCUUUGAAACUGGGAAACUGGAGUGUGUGAGAGGUGAGUGGAAUUCAAGGUGUAGGAGUGAAAUCCGUAGAGAUCUGGAGGAAUAUGAGUGGCGAAGGCGACUAUCUGGCACAUAACUGACGCUGAGGAGCGAAAGCGUGGGUAGCAAACAGGAUUAGAUACCCUUGUAGUC
rnacentral:rRNA from 1 species